AGGUCUGACACUGACGUCUAACGUGUAUUUCAGUGAGACUCAUUAUGUUAUAUAGAUCAAGAAUUGAAAAUAAAAUACGGUAGUGUAUUCACUUUAUCUUCAGCAAAUUAAUAACGAUUAGCGUAAUGUUGUACCAGCAACCAAAGCAAGUGGUGAUAUCACGGAGCGAACCUAUGCCAGUCUAUUAUACACGAGACAGAAGAAAAAGGCCGUAGUAUGUUAUUAAGCCUUGUGGCACGUAAAAAGGAAAAGCAGUUAUAAAAGUCAAGGCGAACUUAAGCUGAGUUGGACUUUGAAUACUGGUUAUUUGAUGUAUGAUCAUUGAGUGAACAUCUUCAGUAUUAUAGAGCUAUAUCCUCAAGUCUUAGUCAAGUGAAAAGAAACAUCUUGAACUACAGUCGAUGUAGACCUCCUAUAAUGUUGUUUUAAAAGGGGGCUACCCUUCACAUACGGCCUCCAUAAAACAGCAUUCAGAUUUCUGUGGAUGCAAAUCGCAUCAUGACUUUAGACCAAUAUGAAUAGAGAAACAUGUUCUGAACUGUGCUUGUUAUAAAAGUUCGAUGAACAAGAAAAGCCAAUAUAGGGUUAUGAGUAAACCCUGUUGAAUACAUUUGGCUGUGUUAAAACUUGAUAUUGAGACAAAAAGCAAAAACUUACUCUAUGUAAAACUUCAAUAGGUAAUUGUUCACAGCACCAGUAAAUUUGUGGUGCAUACUGGGCUGUAAACGAAAAACUGGAAAUCUUCUAAGUUCAAAGUCUUGGACUGUUUUCCUGCUGCAGAUACUUUUGCUCUCAAAUAAUGGAAAAGUUUUUCAAAGUAUUCAUACUUCUUCAAUCGGCACCAUCUAGUGUUGCAUACUUGAACUAAGGAGCUGUGUAGGUUCCAGACAAUUUGUGCAGUUUACUUCAUUUGAAUACCAUUAGAUAUUGUUGUAAACUAAGGAAAAGGUGGCCAACUUUCUCGAAAAUGAAUGCAGGACUUUCUGGGCAGGUUUUGGGGUGGAUCCGAAGUAUGAAGUUUUGUUUUGUUCAGAAGGGAGGCAAAAAUAGAUUCGUGUUCUCAGUGAGGCGUCAGAAUGAAGCUGCAGAUAUAAUUACAAAGGUUCUCAGAGCUAGCUUAUCUCUAUCUAUGUUUACAUUUGUAUAUUAGCUACGCUACAUUGGUAUACCUGACUUACUGAGCACAUUAAAACAUGCAAGAGAUUUUUGUAAACUCCAGCACACUAAGGGUGCUUUUCGUGUGUAAAAACAGUUUUUGCCUUAAAGUUGUUUUGUGACCUACAAUAUUCCUUGGCUCAACAGAAAAAGUCAAGAUCGAUACUCUUUAUUUUUCUAUCUAGUGUUCUUCAUGAGUUUUCUCGACUCGAAAGACUCUUCACCUCAGCGUCCUCCUUUAAGCUCAACGAUCCAUCAUCUUCGAAGCGCUUCUUUCAUCUACUUUGAUGUAUUUUUCUUCUGACCUGAUUGUUACGUUCUUAGCAAUGACUAUGAACAAUCUAAUUUUUCUUAAAUUAUUUCGUUUGAGGGGGAAGGUAGGUAGUUUCUUUUUGUUUUGCGUUGUUCUCUUUAGUUUCUAUAAAUUUUCAAGUCUGUUAUGACGUGUGUAGUGUAACGCAAAAAAAACAACAUACACUAAACACAAAGUCAAAUCUCAGGCACCAUCUCAAAGCCGUUAUAAACUUUGCCGAAAUAGUGUGGGUUAUGCUAAUUGUGGUGAUACUGACUGGGUGUGAGACUAGGUAUUAUGUUAUGUGGUUCAGAAGGGCGGCAAAUAAUAAGUGCGUGUUCACUGUAAGGCGUUUACUAGGCGACUGACAUAAUGAAUACAAAAGUUCUUAAAGCUAACUUAUCUCUGAACUUAUCUCUAUAUUUACAUUAACAAGUAAUAUGAGCUACGCUACAAAACAAACACCUCCCAAAUAAAGUAGGUGAUGUCGCCAAUGCGGCCAACCAUUAUGUCCAACGACAUCGGCAACCCGUAAGCAUCCAAAACUGCGGCGUAUCCCACUAUUUCCAUGGAAAUACAAAAUGGAAAUAGUGGCACUGCCGUUUUUCUAAAUUAUAUCCCAUUAUUUCCGUUGCGGCUUUUUCGUCAUCACUGUGGAAUUUCACCGGAUUCCCCUGAGACAGCUGACUUUAAUUCAUUUGGAAUAAAAUGUCGUAAGUUUUCCUUUUCCUAUUUGACAUCAAAGCAUAUAUCAAUGGCAGUAAGUACAUUAAUUCUUUCUAUGUUGCUAUGAACUUCUCCAAAUAUUGUGUAUAACCGGUUAAAAGGCGCUGGACAGCUGGCAAAUGUCCCGUCACCAAAAUAUUCACUUAUUUCAGAAAUACGAGAGGCGGCUGAAAAAUUAUGAGCCUAAGGUACCUAUUACAAAUACUGAUAGAGGUGUAUAAAAAAUAUAUUUUUCUAUGUAAUCUCCCUCUACUUCAACACACUUCUUACAUUUAUUUCAAUGCGCUUUUAACCCGGCCAAAAAAAUAUUCGGUCUCUGUCUUCGAAAUGUUCGUUUACGGCCGCCUUCAUUUCCUCGUCACUGGCACAUCUCCGUCCUCGGAGGCCCUUUUUUAAAUUGGAAAAAAGGAAAUAGUCGCUAGGGGCCAGGUCUGGACUGUACGGUGGGUGGUUGAUUUCUUCAAAUCCAGUCUCGGCAAGAGCACGCCUUGCAACUCGCGCAGCGUAGACGGGCGCAUUGUCUUGCAAAAACAGGACACCUUUCGCAAGUUUGCCUCUCCUUUUCUGGACAACCACUUGACGCACUCUUGCCAACAAUCCAGCUUAAUAAUUACCAUUCAUUGUAGUAUUUUUGGGAAGGUAAUCUAUAAACAAAAUUCCUUCUCUGUGUACAAUGGCGGUGGCGUCCUUUAUGAUUGAAUGUAUGGACUGGUCAACAAUGGCAGUGGCGCGGCGUCCUUUGUAAAAGGGCCUCAUUACACUACUUAGAAACUAUUAAUAAUAAUAAUAAAACACUUUAUUGCACACAAAUUCACAAAACAUUUACAGGAAAUUAUUAUUAUUUAUUUAUUUAUUAUUCUAGGAAAUAAAGUAUACUUAGCUUUAGGGAAAACAGCCCAUAUGGUUUCUUGCUUCGUGGAAUGCACCUGAAGUUUCUCAGAAGCGAGGGGGCACGGUCGAGACGUAACGGGGAGACCGUCAGUAGUCUUCGCAGCCCGGAGAACACCUGGUGGUUUGGUUAUAUCUGAAAAUUCAGACAAUAAUUUGUUAUAGUCAUGUUUGAUGUGAAUGACCUUCACGCUCUGGUGCUCUGUGUCCCAUGGGACUUCGGAGCAGGCUGCGGUGAGCUGCGUAGUACCAUCAAGCAAGCGCUUUGUGCGCACAGUCUGGCAGAAGGUUAUGAUGCGCCAGGAAGUCCGACCAGAUGAUGGCGGUCUGUACUUCGGCCACGACGAAGUUCCACGCAUAGUCAAAAAAUUCAAAAAUAUUUGUUUCAAAAUUGGCUUACAAAGUUCGCGCUUUUUGAACUUCAAAAAAUUAAAUUACAUAUUUAUGUAACUAGCUGUAUAAACUACUACCACAUCGGACACAUAGUCGCGACACAUGCCUAAGUCGCAGGGUGAGACUGAUGGUUCCAUAUGUUUUGAUGGGUGUCCCAUUAGCAGCGAUAAGAGCGUACGAUGUAGCUUGCCUCCGUCCUUGUGUAGCACUUUUUGGGACACAGCACAGAUCAGAGCCAGUGUCCACUUAAGAACUUACGCUUGGUGAUUUGGUCUGUAAGUCGGAGGCUACCUCUACGGACUGCCUGUGGGGUUUCCCGAUGACCAGUUACACGGUUGUAUGCACCUCUUUGCUUGGUUCCCAAAGAGGCUGUGAUAAAAACACAGGCCGGGUUUGUUAGGUCUGUUACGCGACCUGGAUCUAUUUCGUGACCGAUCCUUGUUACUCUGGCCGAGUGCUGUAGUUAAUUUAGCCACCGUCCUGGUGAGCACGUCCAGCUGUUUUUGCAUGUGGUCAAGGUCAAGCCGGUUAGUGGUAGCAGCAGAUAUGAAUGCUACUUGUGGUGUUGCAGCAAUUGAACGACAAGAAACUGAGUUAUAUUGUGUCUACACUCAGCGGGAUGCAACAAUUUUUUUUCCACUGGUAAAUGACAAUCGAAGGAGGAAAAUAGCUACAAUAAAACUUAGAAUAUGCUGAUUGUUUUUUGUACAAAAAAAAACUUCAAAACUGUUGUGCGGGACAGCCGUCUGUCGUGCGGGACCAGUACGAACUUUAUAUCAAUUUCAUAAAUAUAUCUAUUAAUUCUAAUUAAUUAGGUUGAAGGUAAUGUAAAAUAAUGAUUUUAUAUAGGCAUUAUAUUUUAUUGUUCAAAAAAAAAUCAAACAUU
rnacentral:lncRNA from 1 species